rnacentral:rRNA from 1 species
UACAGAGGUCUCAAGCGUUGUUCGGAAUCACUGGGCGUAAAGGGUGCGUAGGCCGCACGGUAAGUCAGGUGUGAAAGCCCGGAGCUCAACUUCGGAAUUGCACCCGAUACUGCCGUGCUUGAGGACUGGAGAGGAGUCUGGAAUUCACAGUGGAGCAGUGAAAUGCGUAGAUAUUGUGAGGAACGCUAGUGGCGAAGGCGAGACUCUGGACAGUUCCUGACGCUGAGGCACGAAGGCCAGGGGAGCAAACAGG